rnacentral:rRNA from 1 species
GAUGAACGCUGGCGGCGUGCCUAAUACAUGCAAGUCGAGCGAACGGACGAGAAGCUUGCUUCUCUGAUGUUAGCGGCGGACGGGUGAGUAACACGUGGAUAACCUACCUAUAAGACUGGGAUAACUUCGGGAAACCGGAGCUAAUACCGGAUAAUAUUUUGAACCGCAUGGUUCAAAAGUGAAAGACGGUCUUGCUGUCACUUAUAGAUGGAUCCGCGCUGCAUUAGCUAGUUGGUAAGGUAACGGCUUACCAAGGCAACGAUGCAUAGCCGACCUGAGAGGGUGAGCGGCCACACUGGAACUGAGACACGGUCCAGACUCCUACGGGAGGCAGCAGUAGGGAAUCUUCCGCAAUGGGCGAAAGCCUGACGGAGCAAGGCCGCGUGAGUGAUGAAGGUCUUCGGAUCGUAAAACUCUGUUAUUAGGGAAGAACAUAUGUGUAAGUAACUGUGCACAUCUUGACGGUACCUAAUCAGAAAGCCACGGCUAACUACGUG